rnacentral:rRNA from 1 species
CCUACGGGCGGCAGCAGUGAGGAAUAUUGGUCAAUGGGCGAGAGCCUGAACCAGCCAAGUCGCGUGAGGGAGUACUGCCCUAUGGGUUGUAAACCUCUUUUGUCGGGGAGCAAAAGCCGGACGUGUCCGGCUGUGAGAGUACCCGAAGAAAACGCAUCGGCUAACUCCGUGCCAGCAGCCGCGGUAAUACGGAGGAGGCGAGCGUUAUCCUGAUUUAUUGGGGUUAAAGGGUGCGCAGGCGGAUUUUUAAGUCAGCGGUCAAAUCGUGGGGCUCAACCCCAUCCAGCCGUUGAAACUGGGGAUCUAGAGUGUGCGAGAGGUAUGCGGAAUGCGUGGUGUAGCGGUGAAAUGCAUAGAUAUCACGCAGAACCCCGAUUGCGAAGGCAGCAUACCGGUGCACAACUGACGCUCAGGCACGAAAGCGUGGGUAUCGAACAGGAUUAGAUACCCUAGUAGUC